GGGUGAAGGAACUGGCAAAAUGGUACCGUAACUUCGGGAGAAGGUACGCUCUCGACGGUGAAGUCCCUCGCGGAUGGAGCUAUUGAGAGUCGCAGAUACCAGGUGGCUGCAACUGUUUAUUAAAAACACAGCACUGUGCAAAAUCGUAAGAAUGACGUAUAAGGUGUGACGCCUGCCCGG
rnacentral:rRNA from 1 species